rfam:Salmo salar isolate Sally breed double haploid chromosome ssa10, whole genome shotgun sequence.
UACAUUCACUACUGUAAGUCGCUCUGGAUAAGAGCGUCUGCUAAAUGGCUAAAA